ensembl:lncRNA
GAAAGGAGAGUGCAACCCUUGCAGCAAGCGAGAAAAGCUCCGUGGGAUGCUCACAUUCAGGGACCAAAAAGAUGUCCGGAGGCAAUGCCUUCGCAGAGCCAUUGCACCAUAUAGUCGAGUUGUUACCAUUUGCAGCUGCGCCAUAGGCAGCCAAACCUGUCUUCUUGAUGUAUUGGUGCCACAGUAAUCACAAGCAUCCCGUAAGUAAAUUUGCCACGGCUAGAUACAGUAGUGCAAGAGGUCCAAUUCAGCCCUUUAUAAGGAUUUAGGCCCUGCUGGGUAUUACUGAAUACAAAGCAGGUCUGGGUCCAAUUCUGUGACGUGUUCCCUAUCGCCUGCGACCCCAUAAGUUACGGUUCCUGGGGAUCCCAAGGCAGCGAGACAUUUCAUCCAGCAAUCAGUUCAGUGGAGCAUCCCAGACUGUGUAGAAGCCGCUGUAGAGCCGGGGCAGAGAGCUGUUGGCAUCGAUGAGGCACAGCGGGGUCUGCUGAGGCCCCCCCCCCCCCCCAACAGGCUGCCCCACGCCAGCUUCUGCAGCUCGAUGGGCAUCACGGUGUAGGGCAGUGCUUCUCAGUGUAGCCCUGGAAGCCCUGCACUGCCAUGGAGAGCACCGGGUGGAGGCGGCUGUGGCGCGGUCCGGGCUCGGGCCAGGGGAGGCUGCGGGUGGCCGUACAGCGGGGGCUCGUAUGGCCUUCAAGGUGUUGGCAGCAGCACGCCACACCGGUCCCAGAGGCUUCAGCAACUCCUCGUCCUUCCCCCCAGAUAUCACACAGUCCCACGUAUGAUCUCCUAUAUCACGCCAUUCUGAAGCACCGAACAUCAGUGCCACCUCCAUGAGGUAUUCAAGUCAUCGAGCCCAUUUUACCAGCUCCGACGGGCCUUUAGGAGACACUUGCUCCCCUUUCUUAGAGAGGAUAGUUAGGAGCGGUUUCUCUGUAGCUUCCCACUCUAUCGUGGGGGCAGAGGGCAGGGAGGGACCCCGCUUCCAGCUACCGUGACACUUACAGCACUGUUGCUUGUCCGGUGCCAUCCAUCUGCGACCGCUGCCUCGUCUCCCUCUUACUCCAAGGUCCUUUUCUGAUCGUUCUUACUCCAAAGUCCCCGUUUGGGCACCACUUGUCACCGAGUGACUGUUCAGAGUCCUCUGGAGAGCAAUAUUCAGCCAAGGCGCGGCGUGGACGAGGCCACACACCGUUGUGGUUUCUAGCAGCCAAGCCGUGUAAUAACUGCACCCAGCCGCUUAUAUAGAGCGGUACAAAUAACAUGCUAAGUACACAAGGCACGCUUCUCAUGACUGGCAGUUGCUUGCAGCUUGUCUCACGGCACCCGGCACAGCGGUCUCCAUCACAGCUCCGCAUUCCUUUUGCCUACUCCCGUCGUUGUUCUGUGUGAGACAGUGAUCCAUAGCAGCUGUUUUGCUUGCAGUGACCCAGGGGGAGAUAAACAUCACCUCCCUGGGUCAGCUGUCCAUCCACACUUCCC